GCAUAUCAAUAAGCGGAGGAAAAGAAACCAACAGGGAUUGCCCUAGUAACGGGCGAGUGAAGCGGCAACAGCUCAAAUUUGAAAAGCUGGCUCCGGCCCGCAUUGUAAUUUGCAGAGGAUGCUUCUGGCAAGGUGCCUUCCGAGUUCCCUGGAACGGGACGCCACAGAGGGUGAGAGCCCCGUAUGGAUGGACACCAAGCCUGUGUGAAGCUCCUUCAACGAGUCGAGUAGUUUGGGAAUGCUGCUCAAAAUGGGAGGUAAAUCUCUUCUAAAGCUAAAUACCGGCCAGAGACCGAUAGCGCACAAGUAGAGUGAUCGAAAGAUGAAAAGCACCUUGAAAAGGGGGUUAAACAGUACGUGAAAUUGUUGAAAGGGAAGCGCUUGUGACCAGACUUGUGCCGGGCGGCUCAUCAGGGGUUCUCCCCUGUGCACUCCGCCCGGCUCAGGCCAGCAUCGGUUCUCGUGGGAGGAUAAGAACGGUGGGAACGUGGCCCCCUCUCGGGGGGGUGUUAUAGCCCACCGUACGAUACUCUCGUGGGGACCGAGGUUCGCGCUCCGCAAGGAUGCUGGCGUAAUGGUCAUCAGCGACCCGUCUUGAAACACGGACCAAGGAGUCGUCCAUUAGAGCGAGCGUUUGGGUGUAAAACCCGCACGCGUAAUGAAAGUGAACGCAGGUGAGAGCUUCGGCGCAUCAUCGACCGAUCCUGAUGUCUUCGGAUGGAUUUGAGUAAGAGUUUUAACGGACGGACCCGAAAGACAGUGAACUAUGCUUGUAUAGGGUGAAGCCAGAGGAAACUCUGGUGGAGGCUCGCAGCGGUUCUGACGUGCAAAUCGAUCGUCAAAUAUGAGCAUGGGGGCGAAAGACUAAUCGAACUGUCUAGUAGCUGGAUACGCGAAG
rnacentral:rRNA from 1 species